CGGGGUGUGGCGCAGCUUGGUAGCGCGCCUGCUUUGGGAGCAGGAGGUCGCUGGUUCGAAUCCAGUCGCCCCGACCA
rnacentral:tRNA from 1 species